UACGAAGGGGGGCUAGCGUUGUUCGGAAUUACUGGGCGUAAAGCGCACGUAGGCGGAUUGUUAAGUUAGGGGUGAAAUCCCAGGGCUCAACCCUGGAACUGCCUUUAAUACUGGCAAUCUCGAGUCCGAGAGAGGUGAGUGGAAUUCCGAGUGUAGAGGUGAAAUUCGUAGAUAUUCGGAGGAACACCAGUGGCGAAGGCGGCUCACUGGCUCGGUACUGACGCUGAGGCACGAAAGCGUGGGGAGCAAACAGG
rnacentral:rRNA from 1 species